rnacentral:rRNA from 1 species
GGGGGGGGGGGGGGGGGGGGGGGGGGCGGGGGGGGCGGCCGGGGGGGCCGCGGUCGGGGGGGAGUCGGGUGGCGGGCGGGUGAGUAACGCGUGAGUCGCCUUCCCUUGACUUUGGGGUAACUUCCGGACCAUGGGGCUCAUACCGGAUCGCAGCUCCUGCUUCAUUGUGGGGGUUGUAAAGCUUCGGCGGUUGGGGAUGGACUCUCGGCGUAUCCGCUUGUUGGUGGGGUAGUCGCUUACCAUGGCUUUGACGGGUAGCCGGCCUGAGAGGGUGACCGGCCACAUUGGGACUGAGAUACGGCCCAGACUCCUACGGGAGGCAGCAGUGGGGAAUAUUGCACAAUGGGUGGAAGCCUGAUGCAGCAACGCCGUGUGCGGGAUGACGGCCUUCGGGUUGUAAACCGCUUUCGCUCAUGACGAAGCUGUGUGUGACGGUAGUGGGUAAAGAAGCACCGGCUAACUACGUG